CCCCAGCAACAGUCACUGGAGGCACUGUGCUGGGGGUGGAUAGGGCCAGUUAUUCUCCUGCUGCUAAAUAAAGAGAAUCACCACGUUAAAAGGUGCCUCUUUGCCAAGUUAGCAGGGAUACAGCUGGUCAAAGACUUUAUGAAAUCAAUAUGUAUUGAGCACUCUUUUAAAACCUGCUAGAGAUGGGGAAGCCCUUACAACAACAAGUUCGUUCCAGAGCCUCGGGGCAGCUUUAUAGAAAAGGCCCAUCCCUGAGUUGCCACCAGAGGAGCUGCAGGCAGCCGAAGGUGGAACUUUCCUGAAGAUCUUAAAUGGGCGGUGUCUUACUUCAUGGCAUGGAAAACCAGGGUUGCCAUUUUUCAGGAUACACCCAGACUCUGACCUAGAGGAGACCCCUCAGAGGAGGAGGAGCAUGCCCCAGUUUAUUAUCCUGCUUUGAAAUGGCUUUUCAUGAAGGAUGCUAUGAAGAAGAUGGGAGAAGAGAGGCUGGCUUCAUGAAAUUUCAGUACAUAAAAAUGUAUUUGGUGUUUCUGCUUCAUUAAAUUUUAACUUCAAGAAAUUAAGUCUAG